UACCCCCAGGGAUGCCUGAAAGGAGGGAUGAAGAGAAUCCCAACUGGAUGGACUGAAGGACACAGACACGUGGCAAUGGAAACACAAUAACGGAGUCAGUUGAGAUCUACAAGGCAGUUCCACAGACAUCACAGAAGAGACAGUAAUAGAUCAUCAUUGGUGGAUGAUAACACUAAACAGGGGAGCACCACGGUCUUUGAAAUGGAGUGCACAGAGGAUCAACCCCAGAUGACAGAAACACAGGAGGAAAUACAGUAGAAAGAUUGAAAACUCAACUUGCUCAAAAAGAAAAAGAAAACAACUUGCUCAGGGAUAGAGUAUAAGCAUCCAGGCUCUGUACCCAUUAACACCAGAGACUGAAUACAAGCAGUGUCUCAAACUACUUCACAUACUGCACUGGGUUCUCCUUUGAUGAAUUUAAUACACUGUGCUCAUUUCUCGGACUACCAGAUAGCUCUACAGCCCCACAGACACGCAUCCCCUUGACACUAAAGUAAACCAGCAGAUCAAUCAGAUGCCUUUUCAUCAACAGAUUCUUCUUGUACUCAUGGAAUUAAGACAAAACUUAGUUUUCAAAUUCCAAAUUCAUGUGCAAGUCUUAGCACUUUAGUUAACUCAUGGAUCAACUUCCUGUAUGGCAGUAGUGUAUCUAUUUGGCCACACAGAGACAGCAUCACAGAAAACAUGUCAGACGUAUUCAAAUUACAAGUCUGUCAACACACUUAAGUGUCUAAUAGCCUGUGAUCCUCGUGGUUCUGUUAUAUUUGUAUCAUCACAGAAUCAAUUUCUGAUCAGGAGAUUUUCAGACGGUGUGGAAUAAAAGAUCUGCUGAAAGGUCUACUGCAGUGUGGAUACCUGAUGAGAGGUGAUGGGCUAAUGGUGUACAAGGGUUUUCUCAUUGAAAAAGAUGUGAAGGAGCUUAGCCUUAAACUGAACAUUCCUCCAUUUGCAAAGUCAAAUGUUCAGAUUCAGAUGUUAAAUUGACAAAAAAAAAUAGCUAAACAUGUCCAUGUGGAAAGAGCCAUACCAUGUAUGCUAUCAAAUUUCCAACCACAUAUCAUUAAGCCAUAGGCGAACCAUGUCUCUCUCUGUGUCUGCCCCUUUUUUAACUUUGUAUUUAGAUUGUUUCAA